ensembl:lncRNA PRDX6-AS1 PRDX6 antisense RNA 1
AGGGCGUACGCGCUUUAGGGAUGGAAGGAAGAGGAACGCGGCAGGAAGGCGAGCCCCAAGGUGGAGAAUCGCCUGGGCGCGCAGGCUGCGGCGGCUUCGCACAGCCGCCCUGGGCGCUGCACGGGUCCGCGCGCACCCUGCUGCGCACCCACUCGCGGCCAGCUCCCUACAGAGGAGUGGAGUGACUGCUCGACUACCACCCCUCUUUUAGUGUGAGCGUCUGGAGUCCUGACCGCCCCAGCCAGCCCAGCUACGAUGAACUGUCUAAGAGGAUGUGGCAAGACCCAGAAGUAUGGGUGACCUUAUGUCAGAGGAAGUGGCUUUCUUAUUGCAGCAAAAAUUCCCGUACCAAUGUCAGUGCUAGGAUCCAGUUAUUAAACAUUACCAGCACAACAUUGGCUUCUUAUUCCUCAGUUUACCAGGCUGUUACUCAAAAUUCACUCUCCAGCCCUGCUUUGGAGCAGUUGGGAACUUCAGCAUUUUGAUCCACCUUUUUGGAGCCACCUCAUGUGAAAGAUGGAUGAGACCUUCGUCAGCAAACCUGUCUACGUAGGAGCUGGUAUGAGGAUCACACAAUGCAAGCAAAUAAAAUGAGAAAAGAUGAUUCAACAAGAGGCUUCACUGAUUUACUGUUUAACUGCUUUGACCAAAGUGCUUGGUUCUUAUAUGAAUAAGAAAGGGGAUGAGUUAUCCACCAGAAUGAAAGUUAUAUUCUGGUUUGAAGCUUCUGCUGUCAGAUAAUAUAGUUUUCUAUAGUGUGGAAGAACAGCAUCAUCUUCAAGCAAGGUGGAAUUAAGCAUGGACAGAACUGUGUUUCUCACCCAGGAGGAGGUAUGAAAGUUUUCAAGACGCCUACAAGUGGAAAAUGCACUCCUCCCAGCCAAAUCAAGCUUCGCCAGAUUCCUUACAGCUGUGUGCAGUGAAAUGACUAAUGAAAGAGCCCUCUGCUGCUGGUGGAACUUUCACAUAUGGCACUGUUAUGCCACUCAGCAGGACCCGACCCUGGUAUUUACAUAUUGGAUGUCACCCCAAAAGCCCCUGACCAGGGGGUUUCCGGGAUGUAAUAAGAAUGCCACUCUGGGCUUUGGAAGGUGCACCGUAUGCACACCCAUACUAUAGGGCAGGGGUUAGCAUUUCAGACCCCUGUUCCUCCCUUGACAAGCAAGUGCUUUUCUCCAGGGAAGACGUUCAGGUUCAUUCAUAGAUCCAUUGGUGCCGUGGGCAGCUCAGUAACAAUAGCUCUGCUGCCUACCAGCUGCUGGUGGAGGUGUUGAGAAUACCUAAUGAGGAAGUCAGGGCCCCUGCGUGCUUCAGCAGAGCUGGAUGCCUGGCAUGGCAAUCAAUGGACACAAACCUUUGGAUAAUUUCCGUCCUUGGCGGUGUGUUCUAUAGCAUAGGUAUGAAGUGGGUGCUCUGGGAGCUCAGAAGAGGGGCUCUUCUCUUAACUUAUGGGUGGCCAGGGAAGGCUUCCUGGAGCUCAAAUGACUGAGUGGAGUCUUCAACAUUAAAAAAAAAAAAAAGAAAAAAAAAGUGCUUCCCUCCCACCCCCAGUUAAAAAGGUAAUACACCUCAUUGAAAUAAUUUAAACUUUACAGAAAUGUGUUCCUUUAAAGUUCAGAGAGUAAAGAGGAAGUAAUAAAGCUGAAAUAGUAGAAUUUCUAA